UACGUAGGCAGCGAGCGUUGUUCGGCGUUACUGGGCGUCAAGAGUGCGUAGGCGGUUUUCUAAGUUUGGUGUGAAAUCUCCCGGCUUAACUGGGAGGGUGCGCCGAAAACUGGAAGGCUUGAGUAUGGGAGAGGUAAGCGGAAUUCCUGGUGUAGCGGUGAAAUGCGUAGAUAUCAGGAGGAACACCUGCGGUGUAGACGGCUUACUGGACCAUAACUGACGCUGAGGCACGAAAGCGUGGGUAGCAAACAGG
rnacentral:rRNA from 1 species